AUGCGAGAUUUCCGGCCAAUUUCUCUGGUACAUAGCGCUCCUAAGUUGGUGUCCAAAGUCAUGAAAAACAUGUUGCAAAGGCGCAUACCAGAUUUGGUGCACUCCUUGCAGUCAGGGUUCCUGAGAGGUCGAUCUAUUGUGGAAAACUUUGCUUUAGCAGCUGAAAUGAUACAGGCAGCACAUAAGAGGAAGUUGCCUGUCAUUGCCCUCAAGCUGGAUUUUCGCAAGGCUUUCGAUUCUGUUAGCUGGGGCUGCCUUACACAGAUCUUGAGCAUCAGGGGCUUCCCUUCAAGGUGGAUACAGUGGAUUCAUGCACUCCUUUCAACGGGACGCUCUAGGGUGCUGAUGAAUGGGGAGGUGGGUGCUCCCAUCCAAGCAAAACGGGGUUUUCGGCAGGGAGACUCUGUAUUGCCUUACCUCUUUAUUCUGGUUGCUGAUGUGCUACAAAGACUAUGUUGCUUGCAUUUCCAAAGCGGCAACCUCUUGCACCCUCUUGGGUCUGACGAUCUUUUUCCGGUGCUACAAUACGCGGACGACACGAUGAUUAUCUUCUAG
rnacentral:rRNA from 1 species